rnacentral:rRNA from 1 species
UACGUAGGGGGCAAGCGUUGUCCGGAUUUACUGGGCGUAAAGAGCGCGUAGGCGGAAAUUUAAGCGUGGCCUGAAAGCCCCCGGCUCAACCGGGGAGUGCGGCUGCGAACUGGGUUUCUUGAGGACGAUAGAGGAGAGUGGAAUUCCUGGUGUAGCGGUGAAAUGCGUAGAUAUCAGGAGGAACACCGGUGGCGAAGGCGGCUAUCUGGACAGAAACUGACGCUGAGGCGCGAAAGCUAGGGGAGCAAACAGG